UCCCGGGCGUAAACAGAGAAUCGGUACUACAAACACAUGUUUAAAACCGAAUGCACUUGGCGGUAUCCUAACCAAUUAGGGGAACCUGUUACUUAAUCCGAUGAUCCGCGUCUACUCUACUUUGUCUUGCCAGCCUCAGCCUGUGUAUUGCCGUCGCCAGCCAAAAUAGCGAUAUUAGAGCUAAAUAUGUUUUAACCACCAGAAGUCAGGUCGAAAUACAGCCUAUGGCAAAGGGUAAAUGGGUUACAUUUCUUAAUAGUAAUGGAUUUAUUAAUAAAAAAAAUAUGAAAAAGGACUUAAUAGUAAGCUUAAAUACGUAAUUAGGCUGAAUUGAGCUCUGGGGUGUGU
rnacentral:rRNA from 1 species